UCCUGGAUGGCUCAGUUGGUUGAGCGUCUGACUUCCGCUCAGGUCAUGAUCUCACGGUUUGUGGGUUUGAGCCCCGCAUCGGGCU
rnacentral:tRNA from 1 species